rnacentral:piRNA from 1 species
UGCUUGCAUAGAUAUUGAAGGUCUUCAUG